rnacentral:lncRNA from 1 species
CUUUUUUUUUUUUUUUCCUCCCCCCUCGCCCGUCCUUGGCACGGCGCAGAAGCCCCCAAGCACCCCAAAAAAUAAACCCCCCCAAAACCCCAACCCUUCCCAAGCGGCCCCGGCCCCGCUGUAGGGCCGGAUCCCUCCCCACUCACCAUUUGCUUUUCAUUGGGAAAAGUGAGUGGAGCCAUUUUGUGGCCUACGCGUCGCGGCUAUAUUUGUAGUAAGUGUUGGGUGGCUUCAGCUGGGUAGGCUCUAAUUCCACAUCACGUCCAGUUUCCUAUUUAGUAUGGAGAGCGGAACACUACUGCAAUGUGGCCGAGAGAGAUAAAACCCCAGCAGUGGCCCGCCUGCCCUGAUAAGCUUCUAAACCCAUUAUUUAUGAAAUGAUUCAUUAUUAUUUGGCAAUUUUAUCGAAGGAAAGCGGAAAAUUAUUGCAGGGAUAUGCAUAGGAAUAACUCCGGAAUGCAUGCCUUCUAGCUUUUUAUGUGUGUGUGCUUAGAUGCUCUUAAAAAGACACUGGGAAAAAAAAAAAAAAAAAAGAGGAGUAAUAAAAAAUUGCGCUGUGCCUGCCCGCAUCUGAAUAGCAAUUCUUUAUUUUAGUCCUCUUGGAGGUUAUUAUGCCCCUGCAUAUUUUUUUUUUUGAUUAAAUAUGGAACACCUACUCCGUUCUUAAUUAAAUUUAAUGAGCCAAAAUAAAUUGUUGGAGAUGCUGAGAGAGAGAGGGAAGGGGUGUGGGCUGCUCUGGGACGAGAGGAGGUAAAUAAAGCACGCGGAGAGGAGAUGUUUCGGAGAGCAGUGGCCCCGUCCCCACCUUCCUCCCCUCGGUGUCUUCGCGAAAAUUGGGGCCGGCUCCUUCUUAAUGCUGGGGAGGAGGGGACGGGGAAGCCGGGGGGAGCCCGGCCUUGGGAAAUUUGGGAUGUGAGCGGCGGGGAGUUGUGCCAAGCCCGGAGGAGAAGGGCUCGGGGAAGGGGGAAAGGAGCCCUGGGGGUGCGCGGGGCUCGGCACCGGCAGCGCGCCCCGUCGGGGACGGGCGGCUCUCGGUGCGCUGGGGGAGGCGGGCGGCGGAAAAUCAACGAAAUCGCUGAAAAUGAGGAACGGGGGGGCCGGGACCGGGGACUGAGGCGUAACGGGAAGGGCCCCGAUCCCUUCUGCGGGGACCCCGGGGCCGGAGCCCGCAGCGGCCGCACCUGCCGGCGGCCGGCGAAGGGGGCGGCGGGGCCGGGGGCGGCGGGGUCGCUAUUGUGUGCCCGCCACCUGCACGGCCCCGGCCGGGGGGGUGCGGGAAAUCGCGGGGCUGUUUUUCUUCCUUUCACUCCUUCCCCUCAGCCUCCCGCUCUGGAUGCGGCCGUGGGAGAGGUUUCGCCCCGGCUCCCCCCCCAGCCCCCCCCCGGGAAGAGCUCGGGUAGCGGCCCCCGGGGGCAGCCGUCACGCAGAAACCAGGCUGCCAGAUUGUAA